rnacentral:rRNA from 47 species
UUAAAUUGAAGAGUUUGAUCAUGGCUCAGAUUGAACGCUGGCGGCAGGCCUAACACAUGCAAGUCGAACGGUAACAGGAAGCAGCUUG